rnacentral:rRNA from 1 species
UACAGAGGUCCCGAGCGUUGUUCGGAUUUAUUGGGCGUAAAGGGUGCGUAGGUGGCAAAGUAAGUUGGAUGUGAAAUCCUGGGGCUCAACCUCAGAAUUGCAUUCAAUACUGCUUAGCUAGAGAACUGUAGAGGAGACUGGAAUUUACGGUGUAGCAGUGAAAUGCGUAGAUAUCGUAAGGAACGCCAGUGGCGAAAGCGAGUCUCUGGGCAGCAUCUGACACUGAGGCACGAAGGCCAGGGGAGCAAACGGG